CCUGGUGUUUACUGAGGUGAUACACCAUGACUAUACCACUUCAGACUGCAGAUUCAGCUUCCAUAACUGAAUAAUAAUAAUAAUAAUUAACAACAACUAUAAUAAAUCAAAUUUGUAUACCGCCCUUCAUCCAUAGAUCUCAGGGCAUUUCACAGUGUAAAACCUGAAUAUUGCACCCACUUCUACAAAUAAAAUAUUAGACUAUCCCGAGGAUUUCAUACAGUAAAGCAUCCAAUUAUGCAAGUGGUACAGUUCAGAUACAAGUUUGUCACAAAAUGAGUACUAGAUCUUGGUGAACCAGCAGUAAGAUGCACAAACUACAAAUAUUUGGGCUGAAGGAGCUUCUCUUUUAAUGCAGGAGUUUUCCUAAAUACCUUAGGAGUUCCUGCCAGCAGUAGAGGCCCCUUCUGUCCCUCCCCUCACUUCUGAUUUUGGCAAACCAUAAACGAAACAUGUAAUUUUCAUCUUUCUUCCCUUAAUAGCAAAAUGCAAUGCCAUCAUUUUGUUGAAGGACUUGAUAGAAGGUGCUUUAGACCUCGGAUACAAGAAAAAUGUAAUUUAAGUUUAGUGUGUUUAAUGUCUGAAGUAUCUACAAGCGAUCUACAAGUAUCUACAAGUGAUUACCUAAGGACAGCAAGUGGACUAGGUUUCAGUGCUAAUCAAGACAGCAAAUACCCCAAACCAUGAACUCUUGAUGCUCAUAAAGCAGAGUAGCUAGCCUAUCUUUAAGGCUAUUCAACUAAGUUCAACUAAGCUUUACUCAGAGGAGACCCACUGCAAUUAAUGGACCUAACUUGAUUCAUUUUAAUCCAUCUACUUCAAGUAAGUUGAAUACCACCCAUUGUUAGCUCAUCAGGCUCAGGCCCUCCGUGAACACUGGAACACAUAGAACACAUAGAAAAAGGUGGUCUGGGAUAAGUGUGCCCACAUUUUUAAUGUUCUCCCACUGAAACUACAUCUUUGUUGACCCCUCUGCAUAAGUCAUCUUUUCUAACACACUCAAGUUAUCCAAACAAAAAUUAAUUAACUGCUUAGAAGCCAUUCAGUAAUUAAUUGAUUAAAAUAAUUAUAAUAUACUCCAGGGCAAAGAAUAUAAGUUCCAUGCAGCCAUAUGAAUGCACACUCACUUCUAAAUUCCCGUUUUGAUAUUCACAGGUAUACAGACAGACAAACAGAAACUUCUCCAAGACACUACAGGGAACUUUAGAAGAUAAGUUCUCAGAAGGCCCACAUCUCAUCUGUAAAAAUCUCAUUUCUUCCUGCCUGCUUGCUACACGUUAGACUCAUGCUACAGAUUAUACAGGGGGAAAGAAGACAUAUCUGUGCCAGUUGGUGGUAACUAUGCCAUUAUAUUUUAAUUAACUGAUUAAGUCAGGCAUAGGUAAACUCCAGCCCUCCAGAUGUUUGGGACUACAAUUCCCAUCAUCCCUGGCUAACAGGACCAGUGGUCAGGGAUGAUGGGAAUUGUAGUCUCAAACAUCUGGAGGGCCAGAGUUUGCCUAUGCCUGGAUUAAGGAGUUCUAGCUUAAGGUCAUAUAUAUCAUUUUUAUACAAUACCAUCUAUGUACAUUAUAUGUACAUAGGAAGUAAGAAGAUGCCCCCCAAAAGUCACCUACAAUUACAAUGAUGCAAUUUCAAGAAUAAAGUUUGAAUUAUAAAAUAGUCUAAUUGCUACAUUUAAAUUUAUUUUCUAAGACAAGUCACACAAGCUAUAUGUUCACCCUGUACUGUUAGUGAAGCAUUCUAUAAAAAUGCACAAAAAAUAGCAAACCUCUUACAGUGGUACCUCCGGUUACGAACUUAAUUCGUUCCGGAGGUCCGUUCUUAAGCUGAAACCGUUCAUAACCCGAGGAGCGCUUUCACUAAUGGUGCCUCAUACUGCUGCUGUGCAUGACUUCCGCUCGCAUCCUGGGGGAAAGUUUGCAACCAGGAGCAUCUACUUCCAGGUUAGCAGAGCUCGUAACCUGAAGUGUUCGCAAGGAGGACGGUACGUAACACGAGGUUCCACUGUACUGUUUAAAUAUGCAUUCCUUGCACUCUACAUUCUUUCACACAUGAGAAUUAGGGUAAAUUCACACAUUGCAAAGCAAAAAAUCCAUGUCUGCCAUCGCAAAUCCUAGCAAAACAUAUAUUGUCUUAUACACCAGUAGAACCUUGGUGGUUCUAGGAAGCCUUAGUAGCUUCUUCAAUAAGGAAAGCAGAAAUAGGGACUAAGGCAGACAUAGGCAAACUCGGCCCUCCAGAUGUUUUGGGACUACAUCAUCCCUAGCUAACAGGACCAUUGGUCAGGGGUAUUGGGAGUUGUAGUCCCAAAACAUCUGGAGGGCCGAGUUUGUCUAUGCCUGGGCUGAGGUUUCUUGCACAGUAUCUCGCUCACACAAAUGGUCUCCUCCUACAGAGAACAGCCAAAGAGCUACAAGGUACCUCUAAAAGUCAUGUGAGGCCACAGUGAAGGCUGGCAGGUCUGACUAGAGCUCCACACAACAUUAAUGACUAUAUUAAGAUAAUAGUAAACCAUGGUUUAUCAUUAUAUGAGUAAGAGGGUCAGGGUCAUGCACUGCCCCCUUCUCUUUUCUGCAGUCACAAGAUCGGAAGUUUUCACUUCUGUUUUUAAACUAACUGUGGUUUAUCAUUAUGCCCAAACCCGGACAAAGUGAUUUUUAACCAUAGUUUUUUGUUUGUUUCAAUAACCCAGAUUUAAACACAAUUCAGGGUGCAAGUACAACACUAGACUGCUAUUAAUUGACACUUUUAAUCUCAUUGUGGCCCUACCAGACAGGGAGGGAGAUGGGUAUCGGACAAGAUUCAAACACAUACUGAUAAACCAUAGUUUAAUGUUACAUCUUAACCAGGCCAAUAUGUGCCAACAAAUAUUUCCCGAAUUCCGCAAAACACACUGGGGUUCCUUCACAAACAAGACGAUGAUGUUUUAAACAUUUGUUAUAAGCAAUUGCCCUUAUUAAUGAAGCCUUUGCAAUAUGCUCACAAAACAUUUCCACCAUCAAAGCCUUUCCUACUGGGUUAAACUGAAGGACAGGCCCAGUGCAUAAAUUGUGGUACCAUUAUGAACAUGUUGCAGCACACACAGGACUAUGCACUGAGAUAAGCAAUUUCUGGCAUACAUAGAAAAGCAUUUCCAUGAUGAAAGGUGCCCAAAUGCAGGUGAUAGCAGAGAAAUAAACACUAUAUUACACCACCAUAUAUGGGUAAUAGUUCUGUGAUAUAGGACCUACAAAUUUAAGAAACUCUGUUUGCCUCCCAGAGUAUGCAAUUUUAUUCUGAGAAAAGAUAGCUUUGUAUGUUUCAUCAUCUCUGGUGUGAACUCCUAGAAAGAAGAAAGUGCCUACCCAAAGGUAAAGGUAAAGGGCCCCUGGACGGUUAAGUCCAGUCAAAGGCAACUAUGGGGUUGCAGCACUCAUCUCCAUUCAGGCUGAGGGAGCCGGCGUUUGUCCACAGACAGCUUUCCGGGUCAUGUGGCCAGCAUGACUAAACCACUUCUGGUGCAACGGGACACCAUGACAGAAGCCAGAGCGCACAGAAACGCUGUUUACCUUCCUGCUGCAGUGGUACCUAUUUAUCUAAUUGCACUGGUGUGCUUUUGAACUGCUAGGUUGGCAGAAGCUGGGACAGAGCAACAGGAGCUCACACCAUCAUGCAGAUUCAAACUGCGAACCUUGCAAUCAGCAAGCCCAAGAGGCUCAGUGGGUUAGACCACAGUGCACCCGUGUCUCUUUUUGUCAUGCUAAUAACCCUUGCUGUUUAAUGUACUGCUCUGAACCUUUAGAAAUUUCCACAUACCAUCCAUACAUUUAUGGUGAAUGCCCUUUCCUGCUCAUCCAGACACAUGCUGUAGGGCACUAUUGCCUACACUUAUCUCUAUUAUUACGUUUACUUCAACAACAGAUAACACUCCUGAUACGCCUCAAUAUACUUGCGGAACACUGCCAAACCAUGACACAACCACUGAUCACAAAAAAAUCACCUGUGUAACAGAAACCACAGUGUGCCACCAGAAGAGCAAGAUUGAGGCAGUUUUGUAUAAUUCCCUCUCCAGGCCCAGCAGGAGGAGAGUACUGCUAAACUGGGCCCAAAGCCAGCAGAGUUUGGACUCUGAACUUUCAUUUUAAAAUAAAAUAAAAAAACAAGUCUUUAGCCUUUACGAACCAAGAGUUAUGAAGCAAGACAUGCAGACACCCCUCUUAACAACUGCUUUGUGAGCCAUCAGCCUAUUCCUGCUUUUCAGUGCUUCUAGCCAAUUUUUGAAACAACAGAUGUGACAGACAAGUGCUAGAGAAAAAUAUUAAGAGUCACACAUCCACCAGGGAAGACCCUCAAAACCAGGAAGACCCUGGUUCAUUUUGAAGCUGACUUUGGGUCUUCCUUCAGAUGUGUGUGAUUUUUUUUUUCUGGAUUCAGAUAACAGAAGAGAAUGCAUGGUUCAUUCUUCUUUUCUUGUAGAGUUGUGAUUGCUGCCCAGUGAAAACAACUGCUACUGCAAGGCAGAAGGUAGAAACAAGGACUUUAUACUCUUGCAUUCAGGUUUAAAUAUUUGCAAAACAAUCAUUGAGUGUACAAACAUUUUAAUUCCCUGCAAUGAAAAUAAUAUCGUUAUUAGUAUAUCCAUUUGGGGGGCAGAGGGAAUAGAGUAACAGCUCUGAAGUGUAGCCCAACCCUGGCAUGUUGGGGGGGGGUGUUUAUUGGUUAUACAGUGGUACCUCGGUUUAAAAACAGCCCUGUUUAUGAACUAUUCAGUUUACGAACUCCGCAAAAGUAGUGUCCUGAUUUGCAAACUUUACUUCGGUCUAAGAACGGAAGCCGAAUGGUGGAAGGGCACCGGCAAUGGGAGGCCUCAUUAGGGAAAGCAUUCCUCGGUUUAAGAACGGUUUUGGUUUAAGAAAGGGCUUCCGGAAUGGAUUAAGUUUGUAAACUGAGAUACAACUGUAGUAGCAACAUGGAGACUGUUCCCACACUUAUGAGGGGAUAAAGAAAUUCUCCAGGGGGAAUGUUGCUGCUGAUAUAAAUGCUAAAAUGGGUAUAGCUAUGUAAAAGGUUCAUGUCUUUCUUCAUAACUCUUGGUGAGGGACAAAGUACAAGCUACAUACAGUGCACUAGGCCAAGAAAAUCCUGUUGACAUUCCUGGUUCUGGCAAUCCAGAAAAAGAGAAAGUAAUAGCGUUACCACUGAACUAUGCUACAUGGUCUGUCUGUUUAUUUUUCUUUACACAAAUGUUUUAUUUUAAUAUACAUAUGUCUGAACUCCCGUAUUAUGGAGAGGUAGCUUGACAAUGAAUAGUCAGCUAUAGUGUAUCAAAGAAACAACCUAAACAAAGCCUAUCAGUUAUGUCAUGAAAUCUCAUGAUUUUAAGAGCCCUACUUUUGCCCAUUUGAAAUUAGUAACUGCAAUUACCUAUCUACAAGAUCCAGUGAGUACACAAAAGGCUUGAAUUAUUCAAAAUGCCAUAAUUAUGUCCUGAAAUGAAAAUGAGGGGGGAAAACUACCCAGAAAUAUGGCUUACAUGGAAAAAUUGCAGGAAUUUUUUGAAGGCACAUCCUGUACUUAUGUUUUACCAAUACAGUAGACCCUCAACUUGUGUGAGAGCUACGUUCCGGGGAUUGUGCCUAAAGCCAAAAUCACGCAUAGUCAAAAUCCAUUGUGUUCAAUGGUAGGUGGAAUUACCAAAGUCAUUUUCCCUGCCCCUUUUUAAUUUUAUUUUUUAAUGUUUUGCCGCAUGCAUAAAGCUGAAUAUGCACAAAUUAAAUGCGUGCAAGUUGCAGGCUUACCGUAACAGUUGAUAUUUAAUUAACCCUAGUAAGAUUUCAAUGUAGCUUAAUGAUUAAUCAUGUAUCAGUGUAGUUCAAUCAAUUAGCAUCAAAACAAAGAACUACCUCUCCAACUCUGAUGAAAGAAUCUAGUAUCAUGUCAGAAGUGCAACAUUACAGGUUGGUCUCUACUCUACACUGUUGAUACAAACUCAAUGCAUACCUCAUCAGCCAGUAUGAAUACAAUCAUGUUAGCUGUGAUCCUCUAGCUGCAAUGCUCAUUUCAAUUUCUCAUUAUCAACUUUUCAGAAUCAGUUUAUAAACAGUGUUUUAAACUGCAGCCAACUAUGUCUGACUGGGAGGCUACAUUUUUCAUCCUCCACACUAACACUAUUGUAUAUCUUUCCCUGUUCUUUAGAAUCAGAAAGGGAAACAAAAACCAGGAGAUGUCUCCAUGAGAGGUUGCUGCAACCCAACAGAGAGGACAGAUCUGUGAGAAAUCAAAAUCUUGUAGUAACACUAGCCAGUCCCUACCAACUUCACUGUUAACAAGCCGAACCAAUCCAUAACAGCUUGAGUCUUCAGCUUCCCUAAACACCCGGAACAUACUUAAUAUGAAUGGAUGCCAG